rfam:Otolemur garnettii contig075211, whole genome shotgun sequence.
ACCGGGCGUUGUGGCUGGCGCCUGUGGUCCCAGCUACUUGGGAGGCUGAGGCAAGAGACUCACUUGAGCCCAGGAGUUGGAGGUUGCUGUGAGCUGUAAUGCCACGGCACUCUACCCAGGGGGAUAGCUUGAGGCUCUGUCUCAAAAAAAAAAAAUUUUUUUUUUGCUAAUUUGAUAGGGAGAAAUAGUAACUCAUUUCUAAGUUUUACUUUUUUUUUUUUUUUAGACGGAGCCUCAAGCUAUCCCGCUGGGUAGAUGGCAUCACAGCUCACAGCAACCUCCAACUCCUGGGCUCAAGCGAGUCUCCUGCCUCCU